rnacentral:rRNA from 1 species
GUGUCAGCAGCCGCGGUAAGACGAACCGAGCGAACGUUGUUCGGAAUCACUGGGCUUAAAGGGCGCGUAGGCGGGCUGCCGCGUCCGGGGUGAAAUCCUCCGGCUCAACCGGGGAACGGCCUCGGAUACGGGCGGCCUCGAGGGGGGUAGGGGCAUGCGGAACUGUGAGUGGAGCGGUGAAAUGCGUUGAUAUUCACAGGAACUCCGGUGGCGAAGGCGGCGUGCUGGACCCCAUCUGACGCUGAGGCGCGAAAGCCAGGGGAGCAAACGGGAUUAGAUACCCCAGUAGUCC